UACGAAGGGGGCUAGCGUUGUUCGGAAUUACUGGGCGUAAAGCGCGCGUAGGCUGCAUUGCAAGUCAGAUGUGAAAUCCCAGGGCUUAACCCUGGAACUGCAUUUGAAACUGCAAUGCUGGAAUCUCGGAGGGGGUAGCGGAAUUUCUAAUGUAGGGGUGAAAUCCGUAGAUAUUAGAAGGAACACCGGUGGCGAAGGCGGCUACCUGGACGAGUAUUGACGCUGAGGCGCGAAAGUGUGGGGAGCAAACAGG
rnacentral:rRNA from 1 species